UUUAUCGGUAUGGGAUGGGGUCGCGUCCUAUCAGGUAGUCGGCGGGGUAACGGCCCACCGAGCCUAUGACGGGUAGCCGGCCUGAGAGGGCGACCGGCCACAUUGGGACUGAGAUACGGCCCAGACUCCUACGGGAGGCAGCAGUGGGGAAUAUUGCACAAUGGGCGCAAGCCUGAUGCAGCGACGCCGCGUGCGGGAUGACGGCCUUCGGGUUGUAAACCGCUUUUGAUUGGGAGCAAGCGAGAGUGAGUGUACCUUUCGAAUAAGCACCGGCUAACUACGUGCCAGCAGCCGCGGUAAUACGUAGGGUGCAAGCGUUAUCCGGAAUUAUUGGGCGUAAAGAGCUCGUAGGCGGUUCGUCGCGUCUGGUGUGAAAGUCCAUCGCUUAACGGUGGAUCUGCGCCGGGUACGGGCGGGCUGGAGUGCGGUAGGGGAGACUGGAAUUCCCGGUGUAAC
rnacentral:rRNA from 1 species